rnacentral:rRNA from 1 species
GUGAACAUACCUCAUGUUGCCUCGGCAGGUCGCGCCCUCUCGUAGGCCCUACCCUGUAAGGCUUACCCGGAAGGCGCGGGUACUCCUGCCGGCGGCCCACGAAACUCUGUCUCAUCGUUGAAUUCUGAACCUAUAACUAAAUAAGUUAAAACUUUCAACAACGGAUCUCUUGGUUCUGGCAUCGAUGAAGAACGCAGCGAAAUGCGAUAAGUAAUGUGAAUUGCAGAAUUCAGUGAAUCAUCGAAUCUUUGAACGCACAUUGCGCCCAUUAGUAUUCUAGUGGGCAUGCCUGUUCGAGCGUCAUUUCAACCCUUAAGCCCUUGUUGCUUAGCGUUGGGAGCCUACGGCACCGUAGCUCCCCAAAGUCAGUGGCGGAGUCGGCUCACACUCUAGACGUAGUAAUUUCUCACCUCGCCUAUAGUUGGACCGGUCCCUUGCCGUAAAACG